rnacentral:rRNA from 1 species
UGAAACCGUGUACGUACAAGCAGUGGGAGCACGCUUAGGCGUGUGACUGCGUACCUUUUGUAUAAUGGGUCAGCGACUUAUAUUCUGUAGCAAGGUUAACCGAAUAGGGGAGCCGAAGGGAAACCGAGUCUUAACUGGGCGUUAAGUUGCAGGGUAUAGACCCGAAACCCGGUGAUCUAGCCAUGGGCAGGUUGAAGGUUGGGUAACACUAACUGGAGGACCGAACCGACUAAUGUUGAAAAAUUAGCGGAUGACUUGUGGCUGGGGGUGAAAGGCCAAUCAAACCGGGAGAUAGCUGGUUCUCCCCGAAAGCUAUUUAGGUAGCGCCUCGUGAAUUCAUCUCCGGGGGUAGAGCACUGUUUCGGCAAGGGGGUCAUCCCGACUUACCAACCCGAUGCAAACUGCGAAUACCGGAGAAUGUUAUCACGGGAGACACACGGCGGGUGCUAACGUCCGUCGUGAAGAGGGAAACAACCCAGACCGCCAGCUAAGGUCCCAAAGUCAUGGUUAAGUGGGAAACGAUGUGGGAAGGCCCAGACAGCCAGGAUGUUGGCUUAGAAGCAGCCAUCAUUUAAAGAAAGCGUAAUAGCUCACUGGUCGAGUCGGCCUGCGCGGAAGAUGUAACGGGGCUAAACCAUGCACCGAAGCUGCGGCAGCGACGCUUAUGCGUUGUUGGGUAGGGGAGCGUUCUGUAAGCCUGUGAAGGUGUGCUGUGAGGCAUGCUGGAGGUAUCAGAAGUGCGAAUGCUGACAUAAGUAACGAUAAAGCGGGUGAAAAGCCCGCUCGCCGGAAGACCAAGGGUUCCUGUCCAACGUUAAUCGGGGCAGGGUGAGUCGACCCCUAAGGCGAGGCCGAAAGGCGUAGUCGAUGGGAAACAGGUUAAUAUUCCUGUACUUGGUGUUACUGCGAAGGGGGGACGGAGAAGGCUAUGUUGGCCGGGCGACGGUUGUCCCGGUUUAAGCGUGUAGGCUGGUUUUCCAGGCAAAUCCGGAAAAU